UUUCUCACAUCCCAGGUGAGUGCUCUAAUAACAGCUUUGGCUCUCCCAGGGUGGGUCUUUUGAAGUUCCAUCUUCAGGUUAUUCUAAUUUAAGUAAUUGUUUAAUGAGUCAGGAGAAGACUGAUUCUUAGCUUGAACAUUCAAGUGUGAUGUGAGAGGCUGGGUCUGGCUUUGUUUGGUUGCAGAUUCUUCUUCCUCACGUUGCUGAGUACGAUAUGUUACGACCUUCAGUACCUUUCCUGUGUCUUUUAAGGAUUUCCUCAGCCAGGGAACACAUUCGUUGUUUUAAGAGUAACUGGUAAGAAUACUUAUUUGUUAUCAUAACAUUUUCUUUACUUAUGCAUCUGAAUUUUUAGUUUUUUUUUUUCUCCUGUAUUAAGAAAUACAUAAAAAUGAGGUCCCUAAAUUAGAUUUAAAAAUCUGUUCUCAC
rnacentral:lncRNA from 1 species